AAAGGUAAAGCCAAAUCCCGGGUAACCGGGAGACGGAAAGCCACGGGUCCGGUCCCCAAAGAGACCGGACAGCAGGGUUGCCUUUU
rnacentral:ncRNA from 1 species